ACCUGACUGCUAUCGGAUUGAUACUAAGCCAUGCGAGUCAUUGUAGCAAUACAAGGCAGACGGCUCAGUAACACGUAGUCAAUCUAACCUAUGGACGGGGAUAACCUCGGGAAACUGAGAAUAAUACCCGAUAGGCCACCAUGCCUGGAAUGGUUUGUGGCCCAAAUGAUUUAUCGCCGUAGGAUGGGACUGCGGUCUAUCAGCUUGUUGGUGAGGUAAUGGCCCACCAAGGCUAUAACAGAUACGGGCUCUGAGAGGAGAGGCCCGGAGAUGGGUACUGAGACACGGACCCAGGCCCUAUGGGGCGCAGCAGGCGAGAAAACUUUGCAAUGUGCGAAAGCACGACAAGGUUAAUCCGAGUGUUUUCUGCUAAAGAAAUCUUUUACCGGUCUUAAAACCACCGGCGAAUAAGGGGUGGGCAAGUUCUGGUGUCAGCCGCCGCGGUAAAACCAGCACCUCAAGUGGUCAGGAGGAUUAUUGGGCCUAAAGCAUCCGUAGCCUGCCGUGUAAGUUUUCGGUUAAAUCUAUGCGCUCAACGCAUAGGCUGCCGGAAAUACUGCACGGCUAGGGAGUGGGAGAGGUAGACGGUACUCGGUAGGAAGGGGUAAAAUCCUCUGAUCUAUCGAUGACCCCCUGUGGCGAAGGCGGUCUACUAGAACACGUCCGACGGUGAGGGAUGAAAGCUGGGGGAGCAAACCGGAUUAGAUACCCGGGUAGUCCCAGCUGUAAACAAUGCAAACUCGGUGAUGCAUUGGCGUAGAGCCAGUGCAGUGCCGCAGGGAAGCCGUUAAGUUUGCCGCCUGGGAAGUACGUACGCAAGUAUGAAACUUAAAGGAAUUGGCGGGGGAGCACCACAAGGGGUGAAGCCUGCGGUUC
rnacentral:rRNA from 2 species